rnacentral:rRNA from 1 species
GCGAUCAUACCAGCACUAAUGCACCGGAUCCCAUCAAAACUCCGCAGUUAAACGUGCUUGGGCGAGAGUAGUUCUAGGAUGGGUGACCUCCUGGGAAGUCCUCGUGUCGCACCCC